GGUGUCAAAGUUUAAUGAUAAAAUGCAAGAUUUUGGUGUGUGAUACUUACGUGGGAGUAGCGCCUGCCUAGCAUGCACAAGGUCCUGGGUUCAAUUCCCAGUGCCUCCA
rnacentral:tRNA from 1 species